rnacentral:rRNA from 1 species
CCUACGGGGGGCAGCAGUGGGGAAUAUUGCGCAAUGGGCGAAAGCCUGACGCAGCGACGCCGCGUGAGGGAUGAAGGUCUUCGGAUCGUAAACCUCUGUCAGCAGGGAAGAACGGUCACUGUGCUAAUCAGCAGUGAAUUGACGGUACCUGCAAAGGCAGCACCGGCUAACUCCGUGCCAGCAGCCGCGGUAAUACGGAGGGUGCGAGCGUUAAUCGGAAUUACUGGGCGUAAAGCGCUCGUAGGCGGUAUGUCAAGUCAAGGGUGAAAUCCCCGCGCUUAACGUGGGAACUGCAUUUGAAACUGGCAAGCUGGAGUGUGUGAGAGGAUAGUAGAAUUCCAGGUGUAGGAGUGAAAUGCGUAGAGAUCUGGAGGAACAUCAGUGGCGAAGGCGACCAGCUGGAAAAUAACUGACGCUGAGGAGCGAAAGCGUGGGUAGCAAACAGGAUUAGAUACCCGGGUAGUC